rnacentral:rRNA from 1 species
GACGUAGGGCGCGAGCGUUGUCCGGAUUUAUUGGGCGUAAAGAGCUCGUAGGCGGCUUGUCACGUCGGGUGUGAAAGCCCGGGGCUUAACCCCGGGUCUGCAUUCGAUACGGGCUAGCUAGAGUGUGGUAGGGGGAGAUCGGAAUUCCUGGUGUAGCGGUGAAAUGCGCAGAUAUCAGGAGGAACACCGGUGGCGAAGGCGGAUCUCUGGGCCAUUACUGACGCUGAGGAGCGAAAGCGUGGGGAGCGAACAGG